ensembl:lncRNA
UAGGCCUAUAGAAGAGGAAACCCUGGUUUGAACACUACCAGAUAUAGAUGUACAAAUCUGGAAUCGCUCUUUGUCACCUGACCCUACGUUAAACGACGGAGUCAAAGAGGCAGACGGAUGUGCAGAGGUCCUCAACACAGGGUAGUAAAGCCACGCUUGAAGCACUGUCAUGGGAACGUGAUGACCUCACUGAAGGCACCAGAGGGGAUCAAGAUGGUUGGCUAUGGUUAUCUACCGGUCCAGGGGUCAGUCAGUCUGUCUGUCUGUCCAUCCGGUGAAGAGGAAUGUAGCCAGAUGAUCGUGAGCCCGGGUGCCACUGCGCCCUGCUUCCAUAAAUCCAUAAAUGCCAGGCAGGAAUCGCUGUGCCAUGGAAAUUCCCACUUCACUAACCCUGAAUCCCAUCCCGAGAAGCUAGAACUGGCAUUUAGAUCAGGAUUGGUAAAGGAUUGUGUAAUUAAAGAGGAGCUUAAAACAAAAUACGAGGUUGAGCACUUUUCUAGUCAUGCAGGCACGCGUUUGUCCAUAACCCAUGAUUAAACUGACCCUUUUCAUUUUUGCACUUCACCACAGGAGCUGUAUUAAAAUACAUUUUUGAGUUGACAGACACCUAUGUAUUCAACUAUAUGUCUCAUGGUCAAUGUAAGGAAUAGGAUUGAAAGUAUAGGGUAUAAAAUUGUUUUUAGAAUGGGUGUGUGCGUGUUAUUGUAGAAGGUUUAAUGUUGGGUCACAAUUCUCACUGGAUAUAGAUUAGUGGAACUACGUUGGAUCGUAACAAGUGCAAAGAAUUUUUUCAAUUGACUCAGCAUACCUUUUCGAUAGAGGAAGUGAAAGAGAGCUGCAUGAGCUAUGUCCCAAGCCGUUGUGGCUGAGACAGGGUGAAAGAUCAGGCGAUGCUUCCAUUCCUAUGUCUUUGUUAAAGGACUUUGGGUCUUAUAGGACACUUUGAAAAACAAAAUUUGUAUAUACUAUUUGCUUUCCCUGAGCAAACACCCAGAACCAUCUUACCUUAUUUAGCAUGCAGUUCUUACAUUCUACAUUUAUACAUUCUUGUACAAAUACACAUUUGUUUAGGUAGGCAAGCAGGCGUUACACAUUUAGACUAAAGUGCAUGAGGUUUUGGUUAACAUUUGUUUAACAUUCCGACAUUCCCAUCCAUCUUUCCAGGAUGGAGAUCCAAUCGGAAAGUGGACUCAGUGACCCAGUCCUCCAAUAAACUUAGAAUAGUAUUUUACAGUAAACAUUUUUCUAUAAUGGUUCACCACCUCCAGGUAGCCUAUCUUUAGUGUAUUUUUAGGAAGAAAAGGGCGAAGGAGUACAACGCUUUAUUAAGUGCGUCACACACGUUAUUUUUUUUACUUUUUUACUUUCUAACUUCUUAGUUUGUCUAACAUUUAAACAUACUUUCUUUAAAUAGGUUUGGUUCUUUUUUACUUUUGUUCACGUGCUUUUGCCCCCAAAUAGCCCUAGUGAGUAAAACAGUAAUUAUCUAAAUCCUUGGUCUUUGUUUGACAAAUAGAAAUUACAAAUUGUUUUGGUUGUGCCGAUGUUGAUGUGAAGGGGGUUAUGACCGUUGUACCUGUUGGAGCCUGCAUGUUUAAAUGAAUAUCUCUAGAAGAUGACAUGUAGCUGUUGGCGUAAGACGAUAUUAUUAUGUGUCAUGUGGUGUUUGCUCAUAAGUUUCAUUACAAAUAUUGCCUAUGGUGCUUAUUACCCAAAGGAAAAUUCAUUGAAACAAACUUUUAAAGUAGUCCAAUCCUCUAAAGUGCUUCUGUCUCAUAAAACUGAUGAAGGUGUUGAGGUUAGAAGUUAACAGCUGGCUGAUUUUAAAUGACUCAUUUAAUAGCCAACAAAUUCCAUCAACAGGAAAAGGAAUCCUCCCUCUGUCGUUAAAUGUAUUUGUUACUUGACAAAUGAAUUAAAUGAUGCACAUAAAAGACCUGAAUGUCCUUUGAUCAUGAAAAUAACAUGAAUCAUGGCAUUUAAUUGAUUAAUCAAAUCAAAAAUCUUAAUUUCAAAAGCUAGUUUCUUAAUUGUAUCUCAGGAUUUACUCCAUGAGUCCAGGCUGAAACCUCAAUGUGAAAAAACAUCAAGAUGAGUCCUCUUUCUGGGGAGCUGCGCUCAAGCCUCUUCAAAAUAAGUGUUUUUCUUAGGGGGUGGUGUGGUGAGGGAGUGCUUAGGACAUCCAAAGUAUUUCAAUAGAUGUUUGGCCACUGCUGGCGCCGGUCCCGAACCCCAUGUAGGCGCCCACAUUGCAACCAAAGAGACAAUCCUCAAGGGUGGCCCAUGUGAACAGGGUGAACUCUGCUUUUGUUUCAUCACUUGCGUUGCCACGGUGGUGCACAUAACAGGGCCGCCACCACAGCUGGAUAGCCCCUCCACGAUGGAUGACUCUCGGCUCAAUGCAGUCCUCUCCUUAACCUCUAUGAACGGCGUGUGGAGCGGAGACAGGCGAGGAGCUACAAUGCCGACCUGCUGGUAUACUGUUCCACUGUGGAAAAACAUAGCCUGUGUGGUGACAUCAUGGCAACCCAAGGACAGGCCGGAGUAGGAAGUAAUACCAUGCGCUGAGACAAAGAGAGAGAGAGAGAGACGGCUCCACCACCAGCUAGUCUACAUAUCAGUCUUGCCCCCUCCCCCUCACCAGCCACCGCGACCACCAUAAUGAGAACAUUGUCUAUACUGUAUAAUAAGUGAGAACCUCUUGUCGUAAAUCAGCCAUUUGCUUGACGUUAAUGGCCACCUCCAUGUAAGCCAAACAGAGGGUAUGGUUGUCCCUAUCGCGUCGCUGAGAUGUACGUGCACAUUAUCUGCUGGUCCACCCGAGUGUCUGAUGGCUAAUAGAGUGUAAUUACCUCAAACCGUUUUUGCAGGCUCAGUUCUUUUGAAUGGUGUUUCACCGCCUUUGGAUCGUAAUGAAACGUGCACUACGACUAGGUGCAUCGUCUCCGGCUUACCACGCUAAGUAGUUCUGAAUUUGAAAUAAAUGGAAGCACGCACGUGAUGGGGAAACACGUCUCUAUUGGCGUUGGAAUGGCAUUGUUUUUGUCUGCUCUAUCUACCUAUGUUAUUACAGGGUUAUCAUCCUGGGCCUUUAGUCUUUGUUUGACCUGCGUUUACACUCCUUAAGCGUCCUAUCGCAGGGCCCGGUCAGCCGUUUUGCAGCGCUGCUGGAAUCAAGUUUUCAGUGACCAACUCGAGGGCAUUUAAGUCGGGCGGAACCAUUUUGGUAAAUGGUAAAAAAAAUAAGAAGAAAAAGUUUAAACCUACAUGCCUUUUAAUCCAGGGAUGUGUGUGGUUGUAGAAGGCUUGAGUAGUUUUGGUAUGAUAUGGUUUCCAACUGACAGAAAUCUGGACAA